UUAGGGAUGAGAACUUGCUACUCAGUGAAAGGGGCAAUAGUUCUUGACUGGAACAAGCAGUUGUUGGCCGAGGAGUAUCAAGAUGUGAAAUGGUGCCUUUGGCAUCAUUUAAGUGCUGGACCCAACAGGGUGUUGGGUUGUGGGAAUUGUUCAAUUGCAGAAACAUCACGGAAAUGAAAUUUCUUGGAUAGUUCCUCAGUUCAAGUAUUUGCCUGCGGUGAACUAUUUCAAAUGUUGAAAAUAUGAUGAAGUUGAUGUGUUCUAAUUAAUGGUUGAUGUGUCGCCUUGGUAGAUUUGUCGUGUUGGUAGAUUUGGUGGUCCAUGAAGUGUGUGGUCACACUGGUUUGGUAGUUGUGUAGGGAAGAGUGUGUAUAAGGGUGUAGAUCACUAGAUAGCCUGUUAUUCUUCAUGAAGUAUCCUACUUACAUCAAAUAAAAUAGAUAUAGCUCCAGGCACUACCAUCCAAAUUGAUAAAAAAAAAUCAAAUGAAGUGUAAAUAUUAUAUUCCCUAUCUUCUAAAAGGCCACUGGCAUAGAGUUAAUUUCAACAACCUUACAAAAAUCAUCUAUUCUAGACAUGGAGAUAAUACCUAUUUUGUACAUUGUAAUCUAUUAGGGUCAAAUCUGAUGUUUGCAUUGGUACAAAUUUGAAGAAUAAUGUUAAUGUUCCAAAGAAGGAAUAUCACAACUGAUGUGAAAUUCAGGCAAACUUAUUCCUUUAUUCAGAUUCUUCAUUCAUUUGACAUACAGUAGACAUUUAUUUGAUUUAAUUUAACAGAUUAGACUACUUUGAAAGAAUGCACUUACCUGAUAAUUUCAAACACAUUUGCUUUUAGCAUUCAAGUCCCAUCUCUCUCAAUAAAGAUUGCAAAGAAAGCAGUAUAUUUCUCAAGUUGUCUGGUUGGUUCCAAAUGAAAAAUUAGGCCGGUAUCAUAAUCAGGCAUCCAUUUAAAGUUAUUGCUUCUAAUAUGAAUUUAAUGCUGCUGGAUGGCAGGCAAGUGUUUAUUGCGACCAAAAAUUGCAAAGUACCUUGUGUGUUUGCAUCCAUAAAUUGUGCAGGACAUCAAUGCCAAUGGCGCGUGAAUUUCCUGUAAGAAGUCUCGGUAGCCUCUGUCUUAAGAAAAAGUGGAAAUUGAGCUAUUUUCGCCUAUUCAACCGUUUGGGAAUUUGGGGUCAAUAACAGCCUUGAUCUUCAACUAUAAAUUCAGUAAUUCUUCUACCGCAUGUUGGCUUCGAGUGUGUGAACUGUUACAAAAAAUGUAGUGUCUUCAAAUGUGAAAAUAUUGCUGCCCGUAUGGUUAAACCAUGCUCACCACAACCUUUGUCAUAUUGGUACCUGAUCAUUUGUAUACCAUUGUGUUGUGCCAAGUUUCUCGGUGUUCUAAUGUAUUCCUAAAAGGCUAUCAGGUGAAAUCCAGAUAAUACGACAGUUGCAGAUGUCGGUAUGUCACACAGAAAUUACUUGAGAUAUACAAUUUUGUUCCUUUUGCAUGCAAUUUCUUUCUAAUUUGGUGAUGCAACUUCAGAAUGCAAAAAUGAAGGUGUUACAGUAACUUGGGUGGGAUGGGGCAACUUUUAUUUUGGUUGAAUUUCUAGGAUGCGUUACUACUCGUCCAGCUGUACAUUCUAAUAUAAAGUAAGAUCCAUAACAAAGUGGUUCCGGCUAAGAAGUAAUGGUUUCAGCAUGUUUUUCAUUCAUUCUUCAUCGCUCGCAAAUAUCAUUUCCAAAUGAUUUAAUGUAAUGGGAAGAGUGAGUCGGUCAAUAACCAAGUGAGUCUCUUCAAUGCUGGUCUUGAAUCACUUUCCGGUCGAUUGUGUGUGUUCCUACUUUUCAGAGUCAAACUGCAAGCAAAAACACUUAAUAUAACAAGGACAAGGUACGAAAAACUUUCAGCUGCGAGUUUCCGGUUUGCAUUUUUAUACGAUUUUUCAGAAAAAUUAUCUACACCACAAGAAAUUGCAGAAAAAAAUGAAGUGAAAAUUUUUGAUGGAAAAGGUUUUGACAUUGUAUCUUCUGGCUUUCGUGUGCAUGAAUUUGUAUCGUGCCCGUUCUUUCCUAUCCGAUCUUUCAGCGAGCGUGGAUUAAAAGUGAAUGGCUUGGACUCUUGAUAUUAACUUGAAGAGGUUAAAUUUAAAGUUUUAAACCGUUUGAAAAGGCGUCCAACUGCGAAGAAAAUAAUUUAUUGGUUCCGGACUCCAUGUCAGACGACCAGUUCUUUGGAAUUUGAAAGAUCGAUUAGCUAUGCCUAUGAUAUUUUUGAAAGAAAUCAUCUGAAUAAGCGUGAAAAUGAAAUAGAACGGCUCGUAUAAUUUUGAAGGUAUGCAGAUUAUUUUCGAAAAAAUGUUCAUUUUUGUGCGUCGUCUUGAAAACAUUCUUUCAGAAAAGCAUUGAAAAAAGAUCCAAUCUUCAGCCAAUCGAAUUGAUAUUAUUCAGCAAGAUGUGUUAACGUUAGUCAUGUUGCGACUGAGGUCUCAUUGGGAAAGGUACAACAGAGUAUGCGAACUUUUUGUAUUUGGUCGCGUUGUUUUUAUGUUCACUUUUGUAGAAAUGAACUAAAAAUUUUCAAAAGAAAAUCUAUAUCUGGCGUUGAACAUCGUAUGACAGCAGUUUGAAUUGAGAAUAGAAAAAGAAUUUCAGUCUUUCUGGUUGAAAAGAAAAUGUAUAAAUUGCCAUUGGAGGAGUGAUAUAGGCUGUCUUGAAAACAUCAAAUGUGCUAUUAGUCUUGGGUACCUACUGCAAUUUGUGUCCAGAAAAGUUCAAAUUUGAAGAAUAUAUAACGAAUGCGAAAAAGUCUGGUGUUGCAAACAAAAGAAAAAUGUUUUUAAAAAGGUACCCAAUGGUUUUAUAUUUCUCUUGCGUGUUCCGUGUUUAUGUACACCAUUUUAGAAAUGCAAGUCCACAUUGCCGAAAAGACAAAGCCACGCCAUUUCCUCUUCAUAAACCUUUUGAAAAUGUUCCAUCCUGUGGCAUGCAUGUAACGAAAAAAUGUCGAAGAAUAGGACUUGGGACUGGUGCGCCAGCGUGGUGUGUUCGAGAUUAAAAAUUUGUGCGCUAUUCAAGAAAAGUAAAAUGUGGGGUAUGAAAUUAAGUGGCAGCUGUUAGAAACCUGAAAUUUGUACUUUUGUAUUCGUUUCCAAAAUUGGAAUUUUGUGUGUGUGUUCGAAAAGGUUUGUUUCAGAUUCAUCUGGAAUGUAUUUGAUCUUGACCAACCCAGCAUUUUACCUGCGCCUGCGGUGGAAAGCAAACGUAUUUUUAAAAAGAUGCAAAGGUACGCUUCCACAAGUGUUAUGCGUUUCGAAUUCCAUUUGUGUUCAUGCAAUUCUAGUCCAAUCGAAGUCAACUUGAACGAUAAAUCGCAGCUCCAAAAUCGCGAAGUAUUCAAUGGAAAACGCUAACCAGCUAUUUCAUACAGUAAAAUUUUCGAAAAGGUAUGAGAACUUCUUGCGGUUUGUGUGUUUGUAUUUGCUUGCAGUCUUUGUAGAUCGAUCAACUCCGAUGAAGGUUUGAGUGUUGGAAAACCAGCGUUUUGCGGAAAAUGACCUUACAGCGCGAAAUCACACGGUAGUUCUGCUUUUUGUUGGUUCGUUUUCGUUUGCAAAUCCAGUCUCUUGACAGGAAGCCGUUUCCGAUUAAUGUGAAACCGACUCGAAAAUGAGAACAUCCAGCUGCUUGAAAGAAUUCACUGAAUUGCGUCGUUCUUCGCGUUUUGCAAUCAUAAAAGGUACACGUUUUUUCCCGCUUUGUGUUUGUUGCUUUGCAUGUGCCUAGAUCGGCAGGAUCCAACGAAGUUUAUGAAGACGGAACACCAAAAAGAGCGAAUAAUGACCAUGCGCAGCCAUUCGCCGAUGCGGAUAUUUUGCUUUUUGUUAAAUUUGUCAAAUGCUAAAAACUCAACAGCAAGAAAGAAAACCAGUGCAAGUGGGACCGCUAAAACAGGUAUGCGGAACGUUAGUAUGUUUUGCGUCAGCUUUUUAAGAAAAAUGCCAGCAACAAAUUUAAAGUUGAAAGAAGAUUGAAAAGGAAUGAAGAGCCGAGGCAGUCUUGCGGAAGGUAUGCAUUCUCGCGGAGAUUCCGUUUUUUGUUUGCAUUUCGAAUAUUAUAGUUACAGGCGCGAUCGUGGUUCGCAUACGGUUCUGAAGAAUGAAAACAAAAAGGUACAAACAAACAUCGUGUGCUUUGUUGUGUUUGCUUUCCCAUCCACUUUUUCAGAAAGAUAUUCUUAAUUUGGCUGUACAAAAUAAUCCGUAUUUGGAAUCUCAUGAUUGAUCGAACGGAGAAACGUUACAGAGGGUGUUAAGAAAAGUAUACUCGAAUAUAAUUGUACUACAAUAAGCGUUGGAGAGAUUUCAUGAACUACAAAUCAAGAAUUCGGUUGUCUUUUUGUUUGUGCGAGACGCCAGACGUUCAGAAAAGCGCGUGAAAAUACUUCAAUCGUGAAAGCUUCAUAAAAAGAUUUGAAACGCCGCAGAGAUGAUUCGGAAUAUAAAAAGGUACCCAAAACGUUCAAAAUUUUGCUUUCGUGCGUUUGUGUUUAUGUGUAACCUUUUAGAGAUGCCUAAGUUAAAGAAAGCCGAAGCCGAAGUUGGUUGCCUUGUCGAAAAUGCUGCAUACGAUCUUAUGUAAACAGAAAAAGGUCAAAAAGAAAAGUUUCUAGAGAUUAGAGGUUUCGUAUACUUUUUGUAUUCAUUUUUCGACCGAAUUUUCCAUUCGGGUGUGUUCGGAAGGUUUGUUUCAGAAUUGCGUUUUCGAAGAUUCAAAUGAAUUCCGAUGAAGGAGCCAGUUGCGAAUUUGUAGUUUAAAGAAGUUUAUCUCGAAAAUCGGGCAACAUUGCAAAAACGGCGGAAAACAGUCGCAUUCUAAAGAAUCCAGAGGUACGAGGUGCUUUUCUUUUCAAAUUCCAUUUGCGUUCCAUUCUAUUUCAGUCGAUGGCAACUUGAAUGCUAUACCGCAAUAUUCAAUGGAAAACAACUGUUUCAAAUAAUAAUAUUGCCUGAAAGGUACGCGAUUUUUGUGCGCGGUUUGUGUUUUCGCUCGCAGUCUUUCUAGAUCAACAAACACCAAUGAAGUUUUGAGUGUGGAUCGCCUUGGUUCGUUGUUGCUUCUCUACUUCCAGGCCUCUAUCAAACUAAUUCCGAAUGAAAAUAUAUCAUUGAAAUCAGAACGCUUUGAUAGAAAGGUAUGCGGAAUUUUCUUUUCGUUCGUUUGUUUUUGCAUCCAGUAUUUCAGAAACUCCUGUCAAAUUGGAGGUAAAAGAUUCAAUCGUAAAAGAGACAUUAGCGUCCGAAAAGCACGAAGUAUUCGGUAUUAUUCCGAUUGGGUUUUCGUUAAAUCAUUUUGGCCAACGUGAAUCAAGAAAUGGUAUGUGGUGGGUUUGUUGUCAUCGGUGUUUUGUUUUGUUCCGAGUGGUAUAUGGCUCCCCGGUGGUGUUUCUGGUUACCUGAGGUUCUUUCAGGAGAAUGGGCAGAGAAUGUUCAAUGUUCUGCAAAUAGGCUUGGUAAAACCUCUGCAACUGUUGAAGUCGUGUUUUGAGAAAGAUGAAAAACGCGUGUAAAAGGUAGGAUUUUUCGGUUUUUCGUUCUUAUUAGUAGCCAAAAUUCCUUGCAGGUGAUUUGAGAAGAUGGAAAGGUAUUACAUGUUUGUAUUGUGGAGUGUGCACACCAUGGUGUUAUAUGAAGUGAAAAUUAUCAGUAUGGUCGUUAUCAAGAUUCAUGUGAGAGUCAGCUUGGGUCAGCCAAGGUGUGGUCAGCUUCAUUUGGGGGUGAAAAUGUGGUGCAAGAUGGUCUGAUGGAACGUGAAGAUAUUGAUUUGGAGAUAGGAGUCGGAUGUUUAUGCUCUUUGCAGUUUUGGAGGGACCUGUUGCCUGAAUCCUUUGUCUAGGUGAAUAGAUAUAUACGUAAACUAGCAAGAUGAAGCAGACUGAAUGGGUGGGAUGUGAAGAGUGGUCUUCGACUAGAAUGGCUUCGAGCUGAAAGAAGAGAAGGAGAUGUAGGGUUAGCUGAACACGAAAAGUCAAGGAGAUGUAGGGUUAGCUGAACACGAAAAGUCAAGGAGAUGUAGGGUUAGCUGAACACGAAAAGUCUGCUGAUGAAGUGGUGUUUGGUGUCCAAGUGUUGGUCAGUCAUCUCUGCGUGUGAUCGGUGUGGAAGUGGUUGCAGAUGUCCGGAAUCUUUUGGGAAAGCGUAGUGAAGUGAAGAGAAGCCAUUAAAAAGAGUUAGGAGUUAGGGGAAUAUCAAGAAUUAGUGAGGAUUGGGAUGGAGAAUAGAAGGUAGGAUUUUCUUUCUUUUAGUUUGCCAAGAUUUAUUGCAGGUAGAUAUGAAGAAGGCGAAGUGUAAAGUAGAUUGAUCUCGCAAGGCAAGGAAUGAAUUGCACAGUUUGAUAUCGAAGCGUUCGUUGAGUGGGUGGGCUGUUGGCAGGACUUUAUCGAGCUGUUGAUGGAAAAGGUAAAGAGUGAAACAGAGUGGCUGUGAGGUUGGUGAUAAUGUCUGAACUACAAGGAAAAUCCAGAAAACGUUGGUAAGACAUGAAGAAGAAAGGGUGCUGCUUCCUGAUGUCGUCUUGAUGUCGUGUUCUUGUUGCCCGAGUUUUCUUUGCUGGUGCGGUAUGCGAGUGAGACGACAGAAGACAUGAAUAAGAAAGUUAAGAAUAGAAGGAAGGAUCAACAAAGGUGUGGUGUACGUGAGUGUGUUGAAGGCACUAAUAUCGUGAAAGGUAAAGUUUUAUUUCUGGCGUUGUUUGCUGAGAUUUAAUUGUAGGUAAAUAAAGAUAUGAAGUGUGGUGCAGAACGAUUUUAUGGGGCAUUGAGGAAUUACACAAUGAGUAAAGUUGAAUAGACUUUGGUGGUGGUGAGCGACGCUUUUAGAUAAACGAAUAAAAAAGAUGAAGAGUGCUACAGGAGAUGGUUUGUUCGAAUGAGAGUUUAACAAUGGUAAUGAGGGUGAGUGAGGAAAACUAUAGGAUUUGAUGAAAAGAUGAAAGGUAUGGUGCUUCCUGGUAUGGUAUCCCUGUUGGUCAGCAAGUGAGUAAAGCGCAGAAUUAGAAAAAUGCUGAGAGAAAUGCUGAGAGAAAUGAUGACAGAGAUUUAAUAUGAAUGGCGAAGAAAGCGUAACAAGGCGAGGCAUGCGAGUGUGGUUAGGUAAGAUAAUCUUAUUUUGUAACUAGGAUUCAUUCCAGGUGAAAGAAAUGAAGUUGGGUUCAAGCAGUCAUAAUAGGAUGAUCCAAAGAAAGAUAUAUUAGUAUGUGGGAUGAUGUGAUACUUCGACUGUACAGAAGGAAACAGUGGUGGAAAACGUGGAGAAGAAGCCGUGAAUGAAGAUGGUAAUGCUGCUGUGGCUAGGUCUUCUGUUGGGUUGAAUAGUGCAGAUGGUGAGAUUGGUUUUCUGUAGCGUCGGAGAAAAGCAAGACAUGGUGACAACGCAAUAACGAGGGAGGGUCAGAUUUCUAGGUGCGUUCCAUUUCGAUCAGGAUUUCUUGGUAAAUGAAGGAGAUGAGUGGGUACAAAUCACGGCGGGAUCAAGGUCCAUGGCGAAGACAUAUAAGAUCAGAUGUGAAGGAGAAUGGUAUGCUGCUUUCUAAUGUUGUGUUCCCGUUGGCCGCCAGUCUUUCCUGCAGGUCAGUGAACUGGUUGGUGUUGUGGUGCAGAAUGUUUUGUUCGAUUGUGGUGCAGUGUGAACUAAAAUGAGAUAGCAGUGUGCGUGUGGCAGGAGAUCAAGAAAGAGGAAGGUAGGGUUCUUUGUGGAGUAUCCGUCGAUUCUCUGUGCAUAUGAAAUGAAAGACCAAGUAUUAUACGUAAUGGCUUGGUUGAGAGAAGUGCUGUAGAAACUAGAACAAAACGGAAUAAAACGUGGAUAUAGAAGACGGAUGAGGUAUGUAGCUUCAUUGGUAUUAUGUAUCUAUAUGUGGUAUGUGUUCUCUCGGUCAGGAUUGGUAUAGAACGUUGGACCUAGUGGAUCGUGAAUCGGCAGCCGAGAUUCUCUACAGAUGACUGAGAGUGGUCUGGUGUAUCCUGGUGUGUGGUGUGAGCUUGGCAAUGGGAAGCAGAGUAUCUAUGGCAGGUGUAAUUGAAGUUGGAAUCUGUUGGUAGCUAUGAUUUUCGACAUGCAAAUGAUUUUGAAGAAUGUUAGAACAGAAAGGUGUGGUGAACUAUGAAUUUUGAAGAAUGUUAGAAGAGAAUGGUGUGGUCAACUAUAGUAGAGUGUAAACUGUCAGAACGACGAGGAUCCAUGGUAGGAUUAGCCUAGAGAAGGGGAAUGGAAUGAAGUCAGUUGGUGGGGCAAUGAUUCGACAGAUCAAACAAUUCGACAGGCAACUAUGGACUGAAUCAACAGAGGUGUGGAAGGUAAGAUUUGUGGUUUUGUAUCUGUUGGUAUGGAUUGCUGAGAUUCUCUACAGAUGGAGUAAGGCGGUUUGAAGGAUCGUGGCAGUUAGAGUAAGGCGGUUUGAAGGAUCGUGGAACUAGCAGAUAAUUUGUGGCUGGAAGGCGUAAAUGAGCGACGAGAGAUUCCUGGUCGUGUAUCACUCGGCAGAUAUGAUUCUCUAAGGAUGAAACGACGUCGGCGGGGAGUAUUUCGAUGAAGUUUCAUUCCACCUGAAUAACUUGGUAAUUCCUGAAUAACCAUAAAUAGGAUGAAGAGUUCUGGAUGCAUACAUAGAACAGCGAUGAAAUAUGUCUUUAAGGGAGGUAAGAUCCUUUAUAUAACCUGUUUGUUGCCGUCGACAAGGUUGUUCUGUAGGUGGUAUGUAAGUGGGAGCGGUCUUGAACUACCGAAGAUAUAAGUGAGACAAAUGAAGAUAUGAAGGUGGAUGUGGUCCGGAAUUCUCAGCAGCUAGGAGAGUGGAAAUAGAAUAGGAUGGUUAAAGCGUGAUUGUAGGGAAUUCGUAGAUUAAAAGAAAGAAUCAUUUGGCAACGAUUUUGGUUGACUGGGAGAAGAGAAGAAAUCGGGGUAUGACAUGCAUUGUUGCAUUCGUUUUUGUGCAGUGGAUGUGGGUUAGAUUUGUUAUUAGGUAUCGAGAUUGAAAGCAAUACAAGGAUAAAGAGCAAUGCUGCUAACAUCGUGAUAUGGUACAGAGAAGGAAGGGAAGAAGUAGGUUUUGAUUGGUUCAUCGUGUGUCUACGUGUCCGGAAUAUGUGAUCAGGUUCUUUCAUAGUUGUCAAAGAAGAGAGAAGAAUCCUGAAGAAAGGGAAGGAAGAACAUGGUUUGAAUUAAGGUCUCCGUGUCUCAGUGUAUUGGUAUCCUAUUGUGUUGGAGUAUGCAGUAAAAAUAGAGGAAGAACAUGAAGAGAAAAGGGGAAACAACGUGAUAAGGUAUGAUGCAAUGUGUGGUUGAUAUGUUUGUUGUCAGUUCUUUUUGUAGGAUUCAGUGAACUGGUGACUGGUCUACGUGUUUAGUAAAAUAAUCUGGUCUAUGCAAGAAGACACAUUUGUCCAAUAGUUAUGACAGAGACAUCAAUUCAAUUGACCAUGGAGACCAGAAGCUAAUCCUGUCAGAGACGAGAUGGUCCCGAUGUUCUGAAGAGUGAGAAACGUUGAAAACCUCAAGAAUUCGUGUGAUAUUCGGCGGAAUGAAGACCACAGCUGAACGGAUGAUGAAGAGCAACAAAGGAAUUCCAAUCCUACUAUCGCUAAAAAUGGAUUCGAACAUUAAAACUUUUGCUAUUUAACCCCCUAUAGCUCGAUAUGUACACUUGCAUUGGGGUAGGGGAAUACGUUUCCAGAACUCUGGUUUUUCGUAUCCGGCAAGUGUAGAUUGUAUUGUAAAAUAUAAAAUCUUGGCACAUUGUAGACGCAUUUUGAAAAACAGUAGUAACUUUGUGAAUUGUAAAUAAAGAUGUGUCGAGAAA
rnacentral:lncRNA from 1 species